ACGCUCACUUCGGCAGCACAUAUACUGAAAUCAGAAUGAUACAGAGGUUAGCAUGGCCCUGCGCAAGGAUGACACACAAAUUCAUGAAGCAUUCCAUAUUUUU
ensembl:snRNA U6 U6 spliceosomal RNA